rnacentral:rRNA from 1 species
GUGGGGAAUAUUGCACAAUGGGGGAAACCCUGAUGCAGCGACGCCGCGUGAGUGAAGAAGUAUUUCGGUACGUAAAGCUCUAUCAGCAAGGAAGAAAAUGACGGUACUUGACUAAGAAGCCCCGGCUAACUACGUGCCAGCAGCCGCGGUAAUACGUAGGGGGCAAGCGUUAUCCGGAUUUACUGGGUGUAAAGGGAGCGUAGACGGUAUGGUAAGUCAGAUGUGAAAGCCCGGGGCUCAACCCCGGGACUGCAUUUGAAACUAUCAGACUGGAGUGCAGGAGAGGUAAGUGGAAUUCCUAGUGUAGCGGUGAAAUGCGUAGAUAUUAGGAGGAACACCAGUGGCGAAGGCGGCUUACUGGACUGUAACUGACGUUGAGGCUCGAAAGCGUGGGGAGCAAACAGGAUUAGAAACCCUGGUAGUCC